rnacentral:rRNA from 1 species
AUGGAGAGUUUGAUCCUGGCUCAGAGUGAACGCUGGCGGCGUGCUUAACACAUGCAAGUCGAACGAGAACGGCUCUAGCUUGCUAGAGUGUCAGCUAAGUGGCGCACGGGUGAGUAAUAUAUAGUUAACCUGCCUUAGAGAAGGGAAUAAUUGUUGGAAACGACUUGUAAUGCCCUAUAUGCCUUUAAUACAUAAGUAUACAAGGGAAACAUUUAUGGCUCUAAGAUGGGACUGUACAGUAUCAGAUUGUUGGUGGGGUAAUGGCCUACCAAGUCAAUGACACUUAACUGGUUUGAGAGGAUGAUCAGUCACACUGGAACUGAGACACGGUCCAGACUCCUACGGGAGGCAGCAGUGGGGAAUAUUGCACAAUGGAGGAAACUCUGAUGCAGCAACGCCGCGUGGAGGAUGACACAUUUCGGUGCGUAAACUCCUUUUAUAUGGGAAGAUAAUGACGGUACCAUAUGAAUAAGCACCGGCUAACUUCGUGCCAGCAGCCGCGGUAAUACGAGGGGUGCAAGCGUUACUCGGAAUCACUGGGCGUAAAGAGCAUGUAGGCUGGAUAAUAAGUUGGAAGUGAAAUCCUAUGGCUUAACCAUAGAACUGCUUCCAAAACUGUUUUCCUAGAGUAUGGGAGAGGUAGAUGGAAUUUCUGGUGUAGGGGUAAAAUCCGUAGAGAUAACUAGGAAUACCAAAAGCGAAGGCGAUCUUCUGGAACAGUACUGACGCUGAGGCGCGAAAGCGUGGGGAGCAAACAGGAUUAGAUACCCUGGUAGUCCACGCCCUAAACGAUGAAUGUUAGUCGUCGGGGAGCUAGUCUCCUC